GCGGACAUCGCGAUCCUUUCGCUCGCCCGUGGGAAGAGACGAGCCAAGCUUCCCGCCCAGGCUUUUUUUCUCCACGCCUUGGCCAAAGAGGAGGAGAGCCCAUGAGGCGAUGCUGCUUUUCCAUAUACGCGCCUCUUCAGUCCCUCGUUAAUCAAUGGGAAGCGAAACGUGCCUCUCUCAGACUGAGUCACAGAAGCAGAUGGACCCUGUGCAAGGUAGCGUGGCGUAGUGGUUCCAGCGUUUGGACUGUAGCUCGUCAAGGCAAGCCACCAUCUCCCGGAGAGCGCCUUUGUUGGGCCAUGCUGCGACAUACUUGACCACCGACGCUCCGUUGCACCCGAAGGGAUCAGCUUCAUGGCCUUGUUGACCCCUCAGGGAGUUGCCGGAUGAUCCUGAGUCUUAGGUCCUCACCAGGAACUCGCUCCGUCCGCCACUCCUCAGGUGCUAGUUUUACACGGGUGUAAUGUAUCCACGGCUUAAUCUCCUUCACCUUCACUGCAGUGGGGGUAGACAGGAGCACAACAUAGGGUCAUCGCCACUUGGGUCCCAAUGGCUCAAUCUUCCAAUCCUUGACCAAAACCUCGUCACCUGGUGAAAAACAAUGUAGAGGUGUGGUAGGGAAUGGUGGGUUCAAUUCAGAAAUGUAUUUUUCUAACUGCUGCAUUUGUCUGCCCAAAGCCUGAACCUGGGCCAAUGUCUGUUUCUCUCCUAUGAGGUGUUGCUCAGCUCCUGUCUCUAAGGCUCCCUUCAAGUUCAAAGGGGGUUGUCCAUAGAGUCUUUCAAAAGGGGAGAGUCCUGUCCGUUUGUGUGGUGUACAUCUGAUUCCUAAUAAUGCCAUGGGCAAAACCACCGUCCACGGCAAUCCUGU
rnacentral:lncRNA from 11 species